UAAUACGGAGGGUGCAAGCGUUGUCCGGAUUCAUUGGGUUUAAAGGGUGCGUAGGCGGCCUAGUAAGUCAGCGGUGAAAUACCCACGCUCAACGUGGGAACUGCCGUUGAUACUGCAGGGCUUGAGUUCGUCCGAGGUGGCUGGAAUGCGUGGUGUAGCGGUGAAAUGCAUAGAUAUCACGCAGAACACCGAUUGCGAAGGCAGGUCACUGGGACGCGACUGACGCUGAGGCACGAAAGUGUGGGGAGCAAACAGGAUUAGAUACCCUGGUAGUCCACACCGUAAACGAUGGAUACUAGGUGUCCGGGGAUUCGUCCCUGGGUGCCCAAGGGAAACCGAUAAGUAUCCCACCUGGGGAGUACGUUCGCAAGGAUG
rnacentral:rRNA from 1 species